rnacentral:lncRNA from 1 species
AGAGUCUUCCCUGCGCCGAAAGCGCAGGUAUGUUCCUAGUCUUGAGCGGGAGAAAAUCACCCAGCUCGGAGCACCUGGCCAGUGGGACCGGUGGGUUCCUGGUGCCUGAAUCCGGCUGUCCGCUCUGCGGUGCCCCGCCCCGCCCCAACCCAGGAUCUUCCCAGCCCCGCUCCGCCCCAACCCAGGAUCUUCCCAGCCCUCGUGUGUCCCCGCUCACUUCAGUUCCCGCCGCGAGCCUUCUUCUUGGUCUUCUGGCCUGGCGGCGAUCGUCGGCCAGUUUAUCCCUCGGAGUUGCACUGGCAGACACGCCGCUACUUUGUAGCGGGUUUCGGGCGGGCCACGCGUGCGGCGACAGGAACCCAACCCCGGCCGACCUUGGGCUCCAGGAAUUCGUUGUCUACGUCUGCGGAGGUGCGGCAGCCUCAGUUUUAAGCGCAGGUGAUCAAGUAUAUCUGAAAGUUUUUAGAAGAAAAGAUGUGUUGUAACCUCCCUGGAAAAAGAAGAGACCUUAUGAAGUACUGCUAACCACCUACAUAGUCAUCAAAAUAAAAUUCCUGAAUUUGUACAAGCCACAGGAAGCUAGAUUGAGAUCAUUAUAUGACAACUGGAAGGCCAAGGCUAUGGGUUACCUCAAAUUGAGGAAUUUUGGCACCUACUCACAGGCUCCAUGAGCAGAUGAAGUAGACAGCUUUACUCAGUAUCUCAGACCAAGAACUUCAUCUCCAUCUCCAACUAGCUGAAACAUCUUCCCUCCUCAACCUGGAAAAUUCUCUGACUUAGAAAUUUAAACAAAACCCUCCCCUUUCAUUGAAUCUCCAUUGUCUGGAGUUUGCUUGUUUUAAUCUAGCCUGUUCCUCCACUAUGGGCUCCCUUUCAAACUAUGCCCUGCUUCAACUAACCCUUACUGCUUUUUUGACAAUUCUAGUACAACCUCAGCACCUGCUUGCUCCAGUUUUCCGGACACUAUCUAUCUUGACUAAUCAGUCUAAUUGCUGGUUAUGUGAACAUCUAGAUAAUGCAGAACAACCCGAACUAGUUUUUGUUCCUGCCAGUGCAAGCACCUGGUGGACCUAUUCUGGACAAUGGAUGUAUGAAAGGGUGUGGUAUCCACAAGCAGAAGUACAGAAUCACUCUACUUCCUCCUAUCGUAAAGUGACUUGGCACUGGGAAGCCUCCAUGGAAGCUCAAGGUCUAUCCUUUGCUCAAGUAAGGUUAUUGGAGGGAAAUUUUUCUCUUUGCGUAGAAAAUAAAAAUGGCAGUGGACCCUUCCUAGGUAAUAUACCUAAACAAUACUGUAAUCAAAUACUAUGGUUUGAUUCUACAGAUGGCACCUUCAUGCCCUCUAUAGAUGUUACAAAUGAAUCCAGGAACGAUGAUGAUGAUACAAGUGUUUGCCUAGGCACUAGACAAUGUUCCUGGUUUGCAGGUUGCACAAACCGGACCUGGAACAGCUCAGCUGUUCCCUUGAUUGGUCUGCCCAAUACCCAAGACUACAAAUGGGUAGAUCGAAAUUCUGGAUUGACCUGGUCAGGUAAUGACACCUGUCUCUAUAGCUGCCAAAACCAAACCAAAGGCCUUCUGUACCAGCUAUUUCGCAACCUAUUUUGCUCUUAUGGCCUGACAGAGGCACAUGGGAAAUGGAGAUGUGCAGAUGCCAGCAUAACUAAUGACAAAGGUCAUGAUGGACACCGGACCCCCACCUGGUGGCUCACAGGUUCCAAUCUGACCUUGUCUGUGAACAACUCUGGCCUCUUUUUUUUGUGCGGCAAUGGGGUGUACAAAGGGUUUCCACCUAAAUGGUCUGGGCGAUGUGGACUUGGGUAUCUUGUACCUUCCCUCACCAGAUACCUCACCUUAAAUGCUAGCCAAAUUACAAACCUGAGAUCCUUCAUUCAUAAAGUAACACCGCAUAGAUGCACCCAAGGAGACACAGACAAUCCACCUCUGUAUUGCAACCCCAAGGACAAUUCAACAAUAAGGGCCCUUUUUCCAAGUUUGGGAACUUAUGAUUUAGAAAAGGCAAUUCUAAACAUUUCCAAAGCAAUGGAACAGGAAUUCAGUGCCACUAAGCAGACCUUGGAAGCACACCAAUCAAAAGUUAGCAGUUUAGCCUCUGCAUCCCGAAAGGAUCAUGUCUUGGAUAUACCGACCACCCAACGACAAACGGCUUGUGGAACUGUUGGCAAACAGUGUUGCCUCUAUAUAAAUUAUUCGGAAGAAAUAAAGUCUAAUAUACAGCGUCUCCACGAAGCAUCCGAGAACCUGAAGAAUGUACCGUUACUUGAUUGGCAAGGCAUAUUUGCAAAAGUGGGAGACUGGUUCAGAUCAUGGGGCUAUGUGCUUUUAAUUGUUCUUUUCUGCUUAUUCAUCUUUGUUUUAAUCUAUGUUCGUGUCUUUCGCAAAUCUCGCAGAUCCCUUAACUCCCAACCUCUGAACCUAGCCUUAUCUCCACAGCAAUCAGCACAGCUCCUUGUCAGUGAAACUUCAUGUCAAGUUUCAAAUAGGGCAAUGAAGGGACUAACAACCCAUCAAUAUGACACAAGUCUACUUUGAGAAUAUCUGAACAAACAGCAGCUGCAGACAAAAAGCCUUAGCUAAACUUUGAUGAGUAAAGCAGGUCUUACCGAGAAUUCAGCUGCCAAAACCCUCCUCUGAGUGUUCCUCUUAUAAGGGCACUUAGCACUAGGACCUCCCAAGGUAUUGUAAAUAAGCCUUAUCAGAACUUUUUGUAGUUUCAUUCUGAAGCCUUAAGACACACACCAUAAAGCUGAUCUGUAAACCCUUACCCCUUGCUGUUCAGAGAGCUACUCUUUGUAGUGUUCUUGCAUGCAUAUAUAAUAAAUGUUUUUUCUAUUGAUCUGUUAAUUUGCAAGCCCCCAAACACUGGAACUAAGUUGGGGGCAGGAUAGUUUCUCCCAACAGCACUUUGUAGGCUUCUGGAUAGACCAAAGAGUGUGUUUGAAUAGAUAAGGGAAUUUUGUUCCCUUGAUUUUGGUUGAAGGUAGAAGAAUCCAAUGUACACAUACACAAAACUAUGUCCUUAAAUUUGUCUCAAAGAAUAAAUAUUGGGUAGUCAUCAGAAUUGACUGAAAACUUACUUUAGGGAGAAAGCCACAAAUAAUUUAGGCUGGUAUGAUCUGAGCUUUCCUGAUUUCCCAUGGGCAUUUUAGUGGUCUAAUGGAAUAUUAGUCUGAUAUGCAUUUUAGCCAUCUUAUGAAAUGGGCCGCAGGUGGAAGUAGGAUGCAGGGAGUGUUGAGGUGGCAUCUAUUAUAUCAAAUGCUUCACUCUGCCCAGUCCUCUGGUGAGUUCCUUACAUGCAUCUUUCUAGUUAAUCCUCUCGGUGUUCAUAUUUUACAGAUUAAUCAACUCAAAGGGUAGAUAGCUUGCUAAAGAUUAUACUAUUACUGAAAAAUAGCAAGAUGCAGAACAGCAUACCUAGUAUGUUACUCUUUUUUUUUUUUUUUUGAGGCAGAGUCUGGCCCUUUCACCCAGGCUGGAGUGCAGUGGCUCAAUCUCGGCUCACUGCAACCUCUGCCCCCUUGGGUUCAUGCCAUUCUCCUGCCUCCCUCCUGAGUAGCUGGGACUACAGGCGCCUGCCACCACGCCUGACUAAUUUUUUGUGUUUUUAGUAGAGACGGGGUUUCACCGUGUUAGCCAGGAUGGUCUCAGUCUCCUGACCUCAUGACCCGCCCACCUCAACCUCCCAAAGUCCUAGGAUUAUAGGUGUGAGCCACUGCACCCAGCCUCGUAUGUUACUUUUUAUUUUAAAAAAGGGGAAAUGAUAUGUAUAUGUGUAUGUAUUUGCAAAUAAAACAGGAAAAGCCAUUCAC